AAGCGAUCCUUUAAAGAUCGAUCCAAGACUAAGAAGACGUUGUUGGAUAGGAGGCACUUUGUAAUGGAGCAGAUCUACCAUUUGGGAGAAGAUUCUCUCCCGUAAGGCUUAUUUCUAAAUUUAUUUGGCGGAAGUACGCAAGCAAGCUUUUGAAUUCAAGAGUGGAGGUUAAAUUCUGAAUCUCUCUGAAAAUAGUACUUCUAAUUCUAUUUUUCUUAGAGAUUACUGAUUUAGAUAUCUUUAUCUCUAUGAAUUUGAACUUUUCAUUUGAUGAAUGAUCAUAUAUUUUCUUCUUACCCAAAAGUUCACUUUAAGAGAUCUAAUCUCCAUAAGGAUAGAUGUUCUAAUUAAACAUAUGCGUUACUGCAUAUCGUUUGGUGGCAUAUAUUGAGUGUGUGCAUCUCACAUACUAUAGUCAUGUCUGUGUAGCCCAAGGCAAGGCAUCAAACAUCGGUACUUCUGAUUAGCUGAAUCACAAACCAAACGAAUUUCACUAAUAUAUAUUUUUCGAGCUCCUCCAUUUCAAUCUUUUAUUUAUUGAUAUAUACUUGCCUUUUGCAGGUUUUCAUCGUAAACUUCUCCAAAUAUUGUGGUUUAUGGAAUGGUAAAAGUUGCUACUAAGUACGUGAAGCUACGACUCACUACGACAUAGGAAAUGCUGAGUUCGAAUGAGCUUAUGAUGAUAAUUUUGGGUGCUAUGCAUUAUUAAGAUGCUUGUGUGCUUUGCACAUACUAUAGAAUAAAAGAUGUCUGUUAUAUACGAAUCAUAAUGAUGUACACAAAGUUUUUUAAAAGUGUUUUUGUGAUGGGUAUCUAUUUCGCACAUGUAUAUGGCAAUGCCGUGUUAGUACCAAGGCCUUUGGCUAAGUGUACCUAGCGGUUGUAGUACAAAAAAAGAUUGGGACUUAAUUAGGACUUCUUUCCUCUCUUUUUCUUUUCAA